UUCGUGCUCGAAAGAGAACCUGCACACAGGUGCUGCAUUGGCUGUCGUCAGCUCGUGUCGUGAGAUGUUGGGUUAAGUCCCGCAACGAGCGCAACCCUUGCCAUCAGUUGCUACGAAAGGGCACUCUGAUGGGACUGCCGGUGACAAACCGGAGGAAGGUGGGGGAUGACGUCAAGUCCUCAUGGCCCUUAUAGGUGGGGCUACACACGUCAUACAAUGGCCGGUACAAAGGGCAGCAAACCCGCGAGGGGGAGCCAAUCCAUCAAAGCCGGUCGUAGUCCGGAUCGCAGUCUGCAACUCGACUGCGUGAAGUCGGAAUCGCUAGUAAUCGUGGAUCAGCAUGUCACGGUGAAUACGUUCCCGGGUCUU
rnacentral:rRNA from 1 species